rnacentral:misc_RNA from 1 species
GUGAAUCAUCAAAUUUUUGAACGCACAUUGCGCCUUUUUCGGAAGCCAUGUCUGUUUGAGGGUCAUUUGAAAUAAUAUAAAUUCCAAGAUUUCUCGGAAUUUAAAAUGGGUUGUCCAUUUUUUGUGGUCGCCUAAAAUCCAAGACAAGCUCAUUUUCUUGGGUUGCGUGAUACUUUCAGUUACCUCGUGACUUAACCAGGAAUCAUCGGGCGUGUUAUGAAUUUUGCACGGGAUAAGAAAUUCCAUAGAUUUAUCUCAUGCGAAUUAGAAAUCGAAU